UUGGCUUUAGCGGACAGUUGAAAAUUGAGUGAAAAACUAUACUACUGUAUAUAAGUGAAUGCUUUGCUACUCAGUAAUAUACUAACACUUAACGUGUUACAGCUACCUAUACCGCAAGAUACCAAGAUGGACUUCAGAGUUGUGUUAUUUUUAGUCUGUGUCUGGAUGGCUAGCAUUCCGACAAAUGUGAAAGGUAUGCGCACGGAAAAGCUGCAUGAGCGCACCUAUUGCACGUUUCACUGUAGCCAUGGUUAUAUUAUGAAGUUGAAUUUUGCCACCUGGUACGACUGUUCAAUGUAUAAUGUAACAUCCUCGUUAGCGGGCUAUCUUGAUGGUGUUAACUCCCGAGAACUGUACCUACAAGAUAGUACCUUUGGGCUAAACGACACUGGCUGUUAUGGAUACCUCAUUGCUGACUGGGAUUGUGGACAAAACGGCGGGUGGAGUACGUGGUCAAGCUGGGCUGACUGUCCGGUAAUUUGUGGCAAUGCAUCGGUAUCCAGAUCACGGUCGUGUAACAACCCGUCGUGGGUGAGCCCUGGAUCUGACUGCCCUGGGUCUGCUACCGAGACGCAAUCCUGUAAUACAACAAUUUGUGAAGGUAUGUACCUUAAUUAUGGACUACCCCGUCGAUUUGAUUCGCAUGUUUAAAGAUAGAUAGAUAUUAAAAAAUACGCUGUGACAACGGAGCUAUCGGGCAUAUCGUAUUCUCCCUUCAUUUACGUUUUUCUCACGUCAGUCAUUUACAGUUUUACCUGUUCGAGAUUUCUAGGUCACCCCUUUCCACUCCCAAUCGAAACAAAUUGCGCAUUCUUAUCUCAACUGAAUGCCGCCAUAGCGACGGUAAAAUGACGUUGUAUCGACGAUUUAAUCACGUCAUGGCAGCAUUUUGUUGUAUUGCAUUUUUGUUAGAUAUUUGAACUGGGCCAUACGUAUAUAAAAAUAGGAUGAUAGUAAGAGACAGACAAAGAAAUCCCCAACUUGGAUAAAAUUCUUUAUAGUCUAACCCUCAGCUGGAUAUAUCUGUCUCAUUCUCAAGGAGGAGUAGUUUCCUUUAAUCAAACAAACACCGAGCAGAUCAGUUCCAUGUCACACAAGGACAAUCAGAUCGUAAUACAAAACUUGUAUGAUAAUCGUGAUGCUAUUUCCUUGAUACAAUUUUAAUGUUGUUCUACUCCAGUUCCACCAGCGAGCUGUAUUACAUAUCAUAAAGGAUUCGACAUUUAAGGCCUUGUUUUCAGGUUAAUCGACUUCUACCGGCUGCUGAAUGGAAAACUUACAUCAUAUGAUUUUUUGUUUUGAUAGAUGCACGCUCUGUAUAAUAUUACCUUGGGUAUAGCUUUACCUAUUCGAUUUUCCAAUAUACAUAUGCCUAAUAUAUCCGUUGUCACUGGUAGUUAGUAGUGAGACCUUCGUUUCAAACUGGGUUUCCACAAGCCUUUAAAUCUUCCCUGGCAUUUCGCUGUUACAGGUAGAACUGUACACAUCAUAUUUUGAUAGCGAAAUGCUGGUCUAGUUUUGACAUCAUUUGAAAGAUAAAAUAAGAAUGUAUAAUGCAUAGCCAACUCUUUGUCAUCGGGUGUACUUUGUGCACACUUUCCAAACGCGUGUAGAUUUCGGAGACUUGUGUGAAUACGCUGACAGUCACAAGCUACAUCCCUGUCACCCCUCCUCUAACUGUCAUCCCGGAGCUAAUCGACGCACUGCUCUUACUCAGGACAAGGUAUGGAUUUUGCUCGCCAGUCCAUGAGCUACAAAGACGACUUGGAUUCAUGACAGCAAGAUUUAGUAUUCCAGUCAUCCGGAACGACAUAAGCGCCGCUGGUAAACAUACGAUGGAUUCUGCUACUACUCACCAAAUUCUUCACCUACUUGCAAGCUGCGUUGAUCGGUGAUGUGGAAUACUGGAAACAUAUUUUUUCAGUGGAAUGUAUUGACAAACAUUGUGUUUUACCAUGACCUUACAUUUCAAUUAUUGUGUAGGUAUGGUGUCAUCAGAAGUCAUUCGUAUGGACAUCUUAUCAAAACAGACAUCAGGAAAUCAUAUUCGUGAAAUCAUAAGUGAAAGACAAUGUGACAUGACAGAUGCAUUUUGUUAUGUUGACAAUAUCAGAGUGAUUCGUGACGUCAUUCAUUAGACUAAUCCAGCUUCUGGAAACGCUUUCAUAUCACAGUUGUGUAAUGCGGAAUGGAGAGUAAACGAACUAAAAACAAGAAAAGGAACAAAAUUGCUUGUAACAUAAUUUAAUCUGUGAGUCGUAUUAAGGAUUGGUUUCACAAAACAUUGUAAAUAAGAUUUAAAAUGAAAAACUUAUUGUAGAUGUAUGUUGUAAUAAAACAACAAAUAUCGAUAUUUUA